CCGACCUUAGCUCAGUUGGUAGAGCGGAGGACUGUAGUAUGAUGGCUGAAAUCCUUAGGUCGCUGGUUCGAAUCCGGCAGGUCGGA
rnacentral:tRNA from 1 species